rnacentral:lncRNA from 1 species
CAGAUACAGAGUGAGGAUUUGAACAGAUACACCCUUCCUCAUUUACUGAAGCUCUUGUUAUUCCACUCACUAAUGAAAUUGGUAUGGAGGAUACACAGAAACUAGGAGCUGCCUUAGAUUCUAAAAGACAACAGUGUCCUGGAGCAAGUCUUCAGUUUGGCAAUGAAAAUGGGAUAUAGUGUCUGGGAUUCUAGCAGUCUGAUGAGUUUGAAAAUGACAGUUUCUGUGUGCAAAAGAUGAAGAAAGCAUAGACAAUUAUCUGGAGAAGAACAAGUUUUGUCAACUGGGACAGUGCAAAACUGGUCCUAGGCUGCAAUCUGGACGGAACUGGAAGAGAUGAGGUAUGAAAGAUGUCACCUGCUGCCUUUUGAAUCCUGCAUUGUUUCCCAUAAAACCCACACUGAAGUGUUUGAGCACCCACCCCACAACGAGAUGGUGACACCUCUUGCAUGUACUACAUAAGCAGCUAAACAACUUUAACAGUUCAAAAAGCAGG